rnacentral:rRNA from 1 species
UACGAAGGGGGCUAGCGUUGCUCGGAAUUACUGGGCGUGAAGGGCGCGUAGGCGGACAGUUUAGUCAGAGGUGAAAGCCCAGGGCUCAACCUUGGAAUUGCCUUUGAUACUGGCUGUCUUGAGUUCGGGAGAGGUGAGUGGAAUGCCGAGUGUAGAGGUGAAAUUCGUAGAUAUUCGGCGGAACACCAGUGGCGAAGGCGACUCACUGGCCCGAUACUGACGCUGAGGCGCGAAAGCGUGGGGAGCAAACAGG